ACUGUGAAUAUAUACAAGCAGGAGUUACUUUUGUAAAUGCAGGAUCACAUUUUUUAAUGGUGCUUUUUAGACACUGAUCUGAAAGAUGUUUUUGGUAGAAGCAGCUUUGCUGGAUUUGUUUUUAACUUGGUGAAACAUAGUGCGAAACUCUUAAUUCAGUAUUUUUACAGGUUUUAACUGUGUGAUCUUUCUGGAAAAUGUAGGUCAACUUGUGAAAUGAGAGCAUGCACCGUGCUGUUCAGAACUGUCAGCUUUGCUCGUUUCAUGGGUCCUCUGUUGAUAAAACUGAUUGGGUUUUUUUAAUGGAUCUUAAUGUUUAGAGACAAUAGCGAAGGCACUGACCUGUGUGUCUCUUUAUACUGUAAAUGUUAAAUUCUAAGGCUACACAUUAUUUAUCUCGCACUAAGUCUGCUUGGCAUAUGCUAUGUGGCUCUGGACCUUUCCAAAAAGGCGUAGAGGCGACUUUAGCGUGAUUAAUUUAUUACAAUGUCAGUUUCUGGGAGGUUUUCCGUUUUUUCCUCCUGUGUCUAUGGCUGGUGCAAGCUUUUUGUUUAUUUGUGAAACUGAGCGUGGUUGUGGACAAUUCCGACUGUGCUGUUUGAUUUGAGUUUCGUGUUGGAUCACUUUCUUUAAUUGUUAAUUCUCUGCGAGCAGUGAAGAACCAAACUAGAACUUCAAAGUUUUGAAUCCGUUUUGCCCCAGUGGCCAGUGCGAAGUUGUGCUGCAGAUCCCAGCAUGAAAGCUGAGGGUCCAGCCAGCCGGCAGAAAGGCCAGUUGAUGCCUCGACGUGCUUUGGAACCGACUUUGCCCACACAGAGCGUUUCUGACAGGCUGGUGUUUCUUAUGCAUAAGAGAAAAGCAACAAUAUAGCGUGCUUCUCUGCUCCAAGACAUCCGCGGUCCUUUCACAUGGAUCUGGUGGACUGAUUCCUGACGCCGUGGGAAGCCAGCAACGAAGUCUGUGCACAGCCCUCUUAGAUGAGGCCGAAAAGACCCGGACCGUGAAUUCGGAUUCGGGCCGGCGUUCUUAGUCUGGUCCAUGGCGGUGGGAUUCAGUCUGAAGAUCCGAACCACCAGUGAGACGUCUGAGGUUUGUCACUUUCAGAUGAAAAGCAGACCCAUCAUCCUGAUUGAUUGGAUGAAUGGCACUGUGUUUCCAACAAGCUGCAAAUUCACUGUGCUUGUGAAAAGAACGUUUGAGGAGACUGUUGGAGUUUGACAUUUGCCACCUUUGGAGAAAAU